GUUACGCUAAUACCGCAUAUUCUGUGAGCAGGAAAGCAGGGGAUCGCAAGACCUUGCGCUGAUUGAGCGGCCGAUAUCAGAUUAGCUAGUUGGUGAGGUAAAAGCUCACCAAGGCGACGAUCUGUAGCGGGUCUGAGAGGAUGAUCCGCCACACUGGAACUGAGACACGGUCCAGACUCCUACGGGAGGCAGCAGUGGGGAAUUUUGGACAAUGGGGGCAACCCUGAUCCAGCCAUGCCGCGUGAGUGAAGAAGGCCUUCGGGUUGUAAAGCUCUUUCGGCCGGGAAGAAAUCGCUUAGGUUAAUACCCUGAGUGGAUGACGGUACCGGAAUAAGAAGCACCGGCUAACUACGUGCCAGCAGCCGCGGUAAUACGUAGGGUGCGAGCGUUAAUCGGAAUUACUGGGCGUAAAGCGUGCGCAGGCGGUUUUGUAAGACAGGCGUGAAAUCCCCGGGCUCAACCUGGGAACUGCGCUUGUGACUGCAUCA
rnacentral:rRNA from 1 species